rnacentral:sRNA from 1 species
GGCUUUCUGAGCAGCUGCAAAAUAUGUUUUUAACUUUUAAAUGGAAGUUGGGGGUCACUGGCAUCGAGUCUGGAACAGUCAUUCUCAGCAAGAGCUCUUUGAACUCUGACAUUCUCUAGUUUUACGGACUCGGAAAUGAAAGCUCAUUAGCAUCUACACUGAAGACGCUCCUGUUCUUCACAGCUUUAAUGAUCACUGUUCCUAUUGGGUUAUAUUUCACAACUAAAUCUUAUAUAUUUGAAGGCGCCCUUGGGAUGUCCAAUAGGGACAGCUAUUUUUACGCUGCUAUUGUUGCAGUGGUCGCCGUCCAUGUGGUGCUGGCCCUCUUUGUGUAUGUGGCCUGGAAUGAAGGCUCACGACAGUGGCGUGAAGGCAAACAGGAUUAAAGUGAACAUCACCUUUUGAUAGCAUUAAAUUCAUUUUUUAAAAUGAUAAAUGCUGGAGGGGGCCAUCUGAUUUGAAUAAAGUUGAAAGAACAUGUUAAA